UAAGUAAAUGUUUUCCUUUAUAAGAGUUGCCAUGGUCAUGGUGUCUCUUCACAGCAAUGGAAACCAUAACUAAGACACUGCCCCGAGUGAUCUCCAACAUCAGAAAGCUCUAGAGCUAACCUGGAAGCAGCCUCUCUCACUAGCUUUAAAACGAUGUCUGUGAUUAUGUCUAUUACGUUGUUUAUUUCUGGCGUGCUCAUGUACAUGUGUGGAGACCAGAGGACAGUUUGCCGGAACGAGUUCUCCUGUUCCACCAUGUGAGCUCUGGGGACUGGAUGCAGGUCAUUAGACUUGGUGACAAGCACCCUGCCCUGCUGAACCAGGAGCCCUAGACUCAGGAUCCUGAGUGGUGCUGGACCAGAGGGAUCUGGAUGAAAGGGCAACUGUCUGCCCCCAGAACUUGGUCUCGAUGACCCAGCCUGAUUGCUUCCGGAAAUUCCGUCUCUAAAUUGCUGAAUCUUGCUGCCUUUCAUUGAGAAAGAGAUUCUCACGAAGGGAAGGGGCAGCCUGCAGAGGCGACAUUGGCACCCAAGUCCCACCCCUUCCCUGGAUGUCUCAAGUGGCUCUAGCAUAAGAGAGGCAGAUGAGGCCCCUCGGAGGAGAGCUUCUUGGGCAAGACGGGACUCCGGCACCCCUUGGGGGCAAGUACCACGUGUGGCUUACAGAAAACAUCCACGGAACCACUCGCUUCUGCACGACAAUGAGGCCUUCCUAGACCAGCUUCGUGACAGAAGCUCUGUAGAACCACCACGCCGAGGCUGAGCCAGCUCUGGUUACAGGGGCUGUCUUAAGCUACUGUGUUUCACAGAGCAAAGUCAUCACCGCACACUAAGAGGGGCGUGCACGUGGGUAGGUGAUUCCAGGAGAGCUGAGCCAGUGGCCUUCCAUGCCUGGCACCUCCCUCCUCAGUGUCACAUGCUCUAGAAAUAACCCACAACACUUGCCCAUGCUCUCCCGCCCCCUCAGGUAGAGCGCUGGCCAGUCCAGGGGAGGGGCGGGCCAUGGCCAACAGCCAUCCUAUGGACAUUCCUCUUCAGAUACCAAGAAACAAGUCAAAGUAUAAAAAAGUUAUUUUCCAAACUGUUUAGUCAUUUUUCAAAAUGUUUUCUAGAAGUGUUUAAGGAAGUUCACUGGGUAAUUAGAUCAAAUACCACAGGCAAAACAGAGUUUAUGGACUAUGGGAACGGCGAGGCCCCUUGGCAGAUCCAGCAAGUUACGUGAUUAGCUGGCAGGGACAAAGAGGUCAGUGUGGGUAUUCUAACUCUGAGUGGCCACUGGUGGUACCGAAGAAAAUGACCUUAGAGAUCUCAGGAUGUAACUGAGACCCUUGAGUUCUGGCCACGGUACCUGGCCUUCAAGGCCUGAGCCCAGAGGCGUCGGCUGGAGUGGUCCCUCCAGCACACUGAGGUGGGGUUUCCUUCCUCCUCAGACUGUCUCACAGAGAAGCUGUGUCAUCACUAGCUCAUGACAGCCAGCUCUGAAGGGCCAUCUGGUCACCUCAGAACAGAUCAUUUCAACCAGACACUUCGGAGCCUCCCAUGGGACAGCUGCAGGGUGCAGAGUGGCCUCCCUGGCAGGGAGGCAAGGGAAGCUUUAACUGUCCUGUUUGUUUCACAGUGGGUUUGAGCUGUCUCAGAGGUCACUGGUCCCCUCCGUUCCAGUUUGAAAGACUUGAGGUCCUUCUGUUCUUUAUUUGAGCAAAAUCAUCUCAUAAAACGUCCUCAGCCGUCACAGGGGAGACCCUGUGUAGACAGAUCGCAGCCAACGUGAAGUGUUUAUUCUCAUUCAACUCCAAAGUUUUCUAAAUUACAGUGAGAAAAUGAGGUGUGGAGAAAGCUUUUGUGUCCUCUGCUGUUCCCUCUGUGGGAGGAAAAACUUCAAAGAAAUUUCCCACCAUUAAAAAAAAUGCAGAAGAAAGGGCUGCAGGGAUGGCUCAGUGGUUAGAGCACUGCUGCUCUUCCAGAGGACCUGGGUCCAAUUCCCAGCACCCACAUGGCAGCUCACAGCUGUCUGUAACUGCAAUGUCAGGGAAUCCAACACCUUCACACAAACAUGCAUGCAGGUAAAACACCAGUGCACAUAAAAUUAAAUCUAAAUAAAUAUUUUUCUAAAUGCAGAAGAAAACAUUUCAGAUUUUUUAAAAAUCCAAAUUUCCUUAAAAUGUGUUAUUGAUAUAUAUCUUACGGAUAAAUAAACUCCUUAGAGCAUA